UUGUCACCUGGAGUUCUCCUCAAAUCACUUCAGUAGCUAGCUUCUGUCUCAUUGUUGCAUUGACACUAUUUGAUAAGCGUGCAGUGCGAGGAUAUACAGCUUUGUAUAGUGAAGUGUUUGGGAGAACUCUGGGUGGCAA
rnacentral:pre_miRNA from 1 species